rnacentral:rRNA from 1 species
CCUACGGGUGGCAGCAGUGGGGAAUAUUGGGCAAUGGGCGAAAGCCUGACCCAGCAACGCCGCGUGAGGGAAGAAGGCUUUCGGGUUGUAAACUUCUUUUGACAGGGAAGAGCAGAAGACGGUACCUGUCGAAUAAGCCAUGGCUAACUACGUGCCAGCAGCCGCGGGAAUACGGAGGGGGCGAGCGUUGUCCGGAUUUACUGGGUGUAAAGGGCGUGUAGGCGGUCUGACAAGUCAGAUGUGAAAUCCCGGGGCUCAACCCCCGCACUGCAUUUGAUACUGUUGGUCUUGAGUAUCGGAGAGGCAGGCGGAAUUCCUGGUGUAGCGGUGAAAUGCGUAGAUAUUA